rnacentral:lncRNA from 10 species
CCGGCCCACUGGGAUUGGUUCUAAGCAUCCUCUGCCCGGGCCACACUCAGGCCAGUAAAAUCCCAGUCUCUGGGGGUGGUGUCUGGGCAGGAAUGUUUUAGAGUCUCUCCCCAGGUGACUCUACCAUUCAGCAAGGAUUGAGAGCCCUUGGGACCCACCUGACCUGCCUGCCUGAGUUUGGGUGACCAUGCUUCUGUGUGGGCGGUGCCACUGCUGCCUGUCCCUUUCUCGGAGAGGCCUCACGGCCGAGGCGUGCGUUCUUUUUUCCCGGCACCGUCACCACCCGUGUUGUCCUCACUUGAAAGGUGGCCAUUUGAGAUCUACAGGACCGUGCCUAGUUCACAGAUGGGGCGGCCACUAACAUUCUUACGGUCUUCACCUUGCGCUAGAACUUUCCAGGUGUGUUCUUAAAGCUCUCAGGGGAGCCCUGGGCUGUCAGCACUCUCCUAUUGCCCCAUUUGACAGACCUGGAAGCCGAGGGGCAGAGGGCCCAAGUCUCUCGGCCCAGUCCCUGGCAGGACGAGGAGAGAGGGAGCUGGAACCCGGGUCUCCACACUCGCUCCAGCCCCUGCCCCACGUUCUCUCCCUUCAGGGUGAGACCUUUCUGUGCCCUUUCUACGUCACCUGGAGCCCGUGACGCCCGCUCAUCUGUCUGGCUGGAAUCGCCGCCUGGCCCCUCACCACGGUUAUUGCCUUUCGUGCCGAGUUGCCCGGGUUUGCUGUGUUAUUGGCUCGUUUUUCAUUCUGCAUCUGCAGUAGCCAGACUUGGAGAUGAAAAGCAUGUGGCGCCUAACCAUGAUGAAAGAGGGGCGCCUGCGAGUGCCUGAGCGUCUGAAAAGGACCUUUUAGAGGCGGAGGAGCAGAGGAGGAGAGUGACUGCGGGCUCAGCUGGCCCCGUGGCCCCGUGGCCCCGUGGUCUGGAUGGCGUGGCUGGAGUCUGGCCUCUCAGAGCCGAGGCUUCCCGAGCUGUGAGGCGAGAGAGAGAGAGAGAUUCACCUUGCAGAGUUCUACGGCGCGGCACGGAGCGGCCAUUCCAUAAGCAUCGUUGCCGUAGCUGUAAUAUGUUAUCACUAUAACGUAUAUCUAUGAGUCAUAAAAUAAUAGAACUAUUUUAUUUUGGAGAUCUCUUAGAAAACAUAAACAGGAGAAAGAACCAUGAAAUGGGUGACUUGAGAAUAGCUUCCGCUCCGAUAUUCAAUUACCCUUCCCGCUCUCUCCCCCUCUCUCUCCUUCUGCAAUUUGAUUAUUUCGGGGCCCACAAUGCACCUGUGCCAACAUCCCUGGGCCUCUCCUGAGGGCGCACACGAGUGAAAUAAACAGGCCUUGUCUGCGCCCUCUCUCUUUGGGAGUGUCGUGGGUAUGGAGACCCCCUACAAAGUCAUUUUAUCUCUCAGGUUCGUGGGUGAGCAGGAGCGUUGGGGACACAGUGCCAGUCUGUGUACCCUGGUGGUGUUUUCCUCGUUCCGAGAGAUUAAGUAACACGCACCAGGUUACAGAACAACCGAGGGGCAGGGCUAGGCUUCUAACUCAGGUGUCUGGAACACAGUGUUUUCCAUUUCAAUAUUCAGUCGUCAUUCAACAAACAGUGAUCACAUGGGUUCCAGGGCGCUAUGCGUGG